AAUGUGUGCUUUGUGAUGUCAAGGACUUCCGUGCUCAAUGCUGUCUCUCCGGCACCUGGAAAAAUGCGUUUAAAGGGAUUGGAGCCACAGAACGUGUGAUAUCAUCAGAAGAAAACUCAGAACAUGGAGCAUGACUCGGAACAGGGGAGCCAUCGUGGGAGGUUCCUUGCCCGACGAUCACACAGUGGAUUGAGAAAGAAAAGAGGAGAAGUGACAGGAAAGAAGAGGCCCCAAAGGAGAUGCUGGGAGGAACUCAGUGGAUAAGCUCUCCAUUUGGCAAGUUUGCCGUGUGCUGCCCUUCUGUGUAAACCCAGCCAGGGAAAGCACCCCCAAAAGCCAGCUGCCAGGGGAGCCUGAGAAAACAGAGGCUGGAGAUAAGAGAAGACUUGGGGCCUUUUACAGCAAGUGCAAACUUUCACACCUGUCAGCAAUAAAUCAAGAGGUUUAUGGGGCUGCAAUAUUUACACUCUAAUUAAAAAAUCAUAAAGCAAGCACCCUUUCAGGUUGUGGAAAACAAAACUACAAAACUUCUACAGCAGCGGCGGUUAAUCAGUGACUCUUAAUGAUCUGCUGCCCAGUACCAACAUGGGGCAUUUAUUCAGCCGCAAACAGCAAACAAGACAGCAGGAGAAGUGUUUCUGAACCUGUCCAGAGCCGGAGAUGACUGCAGAGAUCUCCUCUGGAGCACUCAGUCUUGAUUUCCAGCCUGACUCCACCAUCUACUGGCCGUGCAACUUUGGGAGCAAAUGGAACCUCUAUGGGCCUCAAAAUCUCCAUCUGUGAACUAUGAAAAUGACCCCAGUACUGGUGAAUGCUGGCAAAUGGCAAAGAAAGAAAGAAGGAAUCUGAAACCCUGCUGACCUCAUGGAGCAGAGCUGUCUACUGGCUCCAGACUGCCCGCCUACAACUGGACAGAGAAAUAAAUACACUGCUGUCUUGUUUGAAUCACUCUAUAUUUCAGCCUCUUUAUUACAACAGCUUAGCUUUAUACCCUAAUAUAUACCUUCCUCUUUCCGGUCUCCAUAUCUUUGUUUCUGCCAUUCUUUCUUCAGGAAAUGUCCUUAACUAUCUAGUGACCAUCUACUUACAUUUGUAGGUCCAGAUCAGGCGAUUCUCCCUCGACUCUGCCAUGUGAGUGCAGAAUUUUUCACAGCUUUGUCUGUGCUCUUAUUAAGUUCUUAUCACAGUGGAUUGUGCAGAGCGUGCUGUGUAAUGUCUUUGCGGUUAGGCUGUUGGGUUUCUCAAGAUGAAGGGAGAUGUCCUUCUAUACCAGAACCUGGGCCCU
rnacentral:lncRNA from 1 species